GUGAAUCUGGUUUACAGAGCUUAGUUAAUAUACUGAUUUCAUUUACAUUGAAAAAUUUUUUGUGCGAUUCAAAAUGUUCUGAUUAGGUUUAAUUAGUUUUUUUUUAUUGUUUAUUAUUGUAUCUAUUUAAAAUUUUUUCUUGAUUAUGGGUUUAGUAAUUUAUUUUGAAAUACUUUUAUCUAUUAUAGUUUAUUUUUAAUGUAAGUGGUGAUUUUUUUUAAAGAUAAAGAAUUUUUUUAUAUUUUACCUUUUGUAUCAGGGUUGAUUUAAUAUGGGAUUUUUAUUAAUUUUUCUCGAAUUAUUAAGAUUUAAUUUAAUAUGUUUAUUACUGUGGCAAUAUUAUGUUUAAUGUUAAGUUGGUGGUGAAAUGUCAUUCGUUUAUUAAUAUAUCUGGUUUUCUGAGAUCAAAUUUAAUUUAAGGGGGCUUUUAAAUUUGAUGGUUAUUUAUUGGAUUUUUAAGUUUUUUUUAUUUGCUAGGGGUUAAGCUCUGGUUUUUAUUAUAAUUUUUUAUUUUUUAUUUUUUCCUAGGCUUGGAAAUAGUCAUUGGUUAUAAAUAUGUUUUAAUUUAAUUGUUUUAUUUAUUAUUUAUUAUUUUAUUUAGUUUUAUUAUUGGGAUAAUAGCUUUAAUUAUUUAUGUUAUGAAAUAAUGAUUUAAUUAGUAUAUAUAUAUAAGUUUUUUAUUUAUUUUAAUGUAAUUUAAAUAAAGGAACUCGGCAAUUUUUUAGUGUUUCCGAAUGUUUAUCAAAAACAUUUUCUAUAGAUUAUAUUUUAGGUAGGGCCUGCUCACUGAGUAAUUAAAGAGCCGCGGUAUUUUGACCGUGCAAAGGUAGCAUAAUCAUUAGUACAUUAAUUGUGUACUGGUAUGAAAGGUUUAACGAGAAAUACUCUGUCUCUGUUUAAUAUUUAGAAUUUUAUUUUCUAGUAAAAAAGCUGGGAUAUUUUUUUUGGACGAUAAGACCCUAUAGAGUUUAAUUAAAUUAUUAUUAUAUAAUUUGGGUUAAAUUUUGUUUAUGUUUUAGUUUUUAAUUUAGUUGGGGUGAUUUGAGUAAUAUUUAAACUAUUCAUUUAUUUAAUUCAUUGAUUUAUGUUUUUCUUGAUCUUGUAUUAUUGAUUAUAAGAUAAAAUUACCUUAGGGAUAACAGCGCAAUUAUCUUUGAGAGUUCUUAUUGACGAGAUAGAUUGUGACCUCGAUGUUGGAUUAAGAUUAAUUGGUGGGUGUAGGUGCUUUACAAUAG
rnacentral:rRNA from 1 species